rnacentral:rRNA from 1 species
GAUGAACGCUGGCGGCGUGCUUAACACAUGCAAGUCGAACGAAGCAUUUAGGACAGAUUACUUCGGUUUGAAGUUCUUUAUGACUGAGUGGCGGACGGGUGAGUAACGCGUGGGUAACCUGCCUUGUACUGGGGGAUAGCAGCUGGAAACGGCUGGUAAUACCGCAUAAGCGCACAAUGUUGCAUGACAUGGUGUGAAAAACUCCGGUGGUAUAAGAUGGACCCGCGUCUGAUUAGCUAGUUGGUGAGAUAACAGCCCACCAAGGCGACGAUCAGUAGCCGACCUGAGAGGGUGACCGGCCACAUUGGGACUGAGACACGGCCCAGACUCCUACGGGAGGCAGCAGUGGGGAAUAUUGCACAAUGGAGGAAACUCUGAUGCAGCGACGCCGCGUGAGUGAAGAAGUAACUCGUUAUGUAAAGCUCUAUCAGCAGGGAAGAUAGUGACGGUACCUGACUAAGAAGCUCCGGCUAAAUACGUG